AUAUAUUAGAUUAUGGUAUAUAUUUAAAAGUAACUAAGUUAAUUGUAUGAGAAAUAAUAUAAAUUUAAAUAACUCCAACUAUGAAUUUUGUUUUGUUAGUAGAUUUUUUAGUGAUUCUGUUGUAAUAAUAUAGAUAUAAUUCCAUGUAUAUUCUUUCAUCCACCAUAUAUAUAUUCACCAAAAUCAAUUCAAACAAACAACAAACAUCCUUACAGUCUUACCCUUGAGUUUUAUAUCUCUUUGAACAAAAAAACUAUAUCAGAAAUGGCCCAAAAAAUGUGUUUGGUGAUGAUGAUGGUGUUGGUAUUGGUAACAGUGGAAUGUGAUCUAAAAGCAAGUAACAUCCCUUUCUCUCCCUCACCAGCGUCUCUCCUAGAGGAUGAAGUAAUACUGCCACAAGAAGGUGACACUACUAUCUGUUUCAGAAAUUGUACCCUAAAAUGUGGCGCUAACAUGGAUUGCAUGCACAACUGUUUGAAGAAUUGCUCCUACUAGGACAACUCUUUUUUUAAUUUAUCAUAUAAAUAACUCACAUUUCUGAUGAUGAUCCAUAAGUUUUUCAUACGGCCAUUUGAGUUUAUAUCAAUGUAUUAAGAUUAAUCGAUUACAAGUAAAAUUUUCGUUAUAUAUUGUCAAAUUUCAUGAUGGAAAAUACAUAAACUACACGACCAUACCAUCGAUCGACCGAUAGCAAGGCAUCAACCAGAUGAAUACGCAGAUAAUUCAUAACUUUUGGAAAAGUAAUCACUGGCUACAUUAAUUAUUAACCACGACAUGGUUAGCCAUGCAGACUAAACUUAUAUAUCUAGCAGCAUGAAAUAUAUGUUAUACAAGACAUUAUUCUACAACUUAAUGAUGUUACCUAAUUAACACCAUAAGCUUAAUUUUAUUAAUCCAAAAAGUGAUGUGGACGUUAAUUCCUUUUAAUCUUCAUGUUUGAUCAAUUAAAAUUCUAUCCACUCGACUGUAACUUAACUAAAAUUUGACCCGUCACGAUAAAGGGGAAAAUCAGAACAUUAGUGUUUCAAUUCAAAUUAGUGAGAGAGAAAGGAAGUUGGUGAAAUCUUGUGGGGUUAUUGACCAAAAUCGAGAGAGAUGUUAAUGCACCCCGAAAUCGAUUAACUGCUCUCUUUCUCUCUCUCUCUCGUUUUGGUCAACCCCCCCCCCCAAGAUUUCACAAAUUCCUUUCUCUCUCACCGGUUUUAAUUGAACGCUUAAUUUUUUUCGAUUUUCCCUUUUUGUCGCGAUAUAGAGACAACAUAUCCGAUGUUUAUAUAUAUAAUUUUGGGCCGAUUAUAUAAUUUAUGGCCAAAUUUUAUUUUGUUUUAUUAGAUUAUAUUGAGUCAAAGUUUAGUUAAAUUAUGUUCAGAUGGAUCAUAUUUUAAUUGAUUAACGGGAGAAUUAAAUAGAGUUUAAUGUCUCCACGUCCACGUCACUUCUUAGAAAUUAAACUCGUAAUGUUAACCACAUAAUAUCAUUAAGUUGGUUGUCGUCAUGCACAACAUAUACUUCAUAUAGUUAGGUAUACAUUAGUUUAGUGUGCAUGGCUAACCAUGUGGUGGUCAAUACUUCACGUUAUAGCAAUCAUUUUUCCUAACUUUCUUUUUGCUGUAUAUGAUAAGAAGCCAAGAUAUAUCACCAUUCUAUUUUCAGAAAUGGACCAAUUAUGAACAAGAGUAGGUAACGUGGAGUUUUCAGAUUAUAAAUAAAUAACUAAAAGUGCUGGUCUAACACUUCUAAAAUGCAUUAAUCAAAAUUUAACAACAUGUCUUUUGUAUUUUUUAAAUCUAGUAUCAUAUAUAUGGGCCAACGAAUUUUUUUAAACCUAUAUAAAUUAACAUCAGAAUAAGUCAUUAAGCCCAUUUUAUAAAUUUCAAAACUCUUCAUUAAAAAUCCAAACACAGAUUUUUUUCAGUGAGAUCACAAGUGCCGAAGUUGACACUUUAGGAAGAGAUGAAACUUUCAUUAUAUAUAUGAUUUUAUUCCAAUUAGUAUAUGGCAUAAAAAGAAAAAAUAUGUGAAAAUUACUAUUAUUCAAACAAAAAUAAAUAAGGUCAAACAAAAACAGUAGAUGCAAUUUACUAGAGGUGAAUCAAUACAAAGACUAUAAAUAAAGUAAUAAAUAAUUCCAUAUAAUCUUUCCUCCAUCGUAUAUAUAAACCCACACAAGUCAAACAAAACAAACAACAAACAUCAAUCUUACAUUCUUACUACUCUUGAGUUUUAAACCUGUUUGAACGAAAAAAAGUUCUAUCAGAAAUGACUCAAAAAAUUUGCAUGGUGAUGAUGAUGGUGAUGGUAUUGGUAACAAUGGAAUGUGCUACUAUUAAUCAAGCAACAAAAGGCUACGGAUCAUGCAUCACCGAAUGCGUUGAAAAGUGCGGCACAGAUGAGCAUUGCCGAUAUCAUUGCAGAUGGAUUUGCCCCAAACCUCACUUACCACAGGUUAUCCUAAAGGAUGAAACAAUAUUGCCACAACAAGGUAGAAACGCUAUCUGCUACAGAAACUGUCUCAUCAAAUGUGGCAAUAACGAAGCUUGCAUGCACGCUUGUUUGGAGAAAUGCCUCCAGUAAAACUGCUAUUUAUAAUUAUCAUACAAAAUACUCAAAAAAAUUAUGAUGGUGCAUGUGUUUUACAUACGAAUUUGAGUUUAUAUCAAUGUAUUACGUUUCUUAACUUCGUUCCAGAAAAAAAAUCGAAUAUUAGUAACAAAGUUUUGGU